rnacentral:misc_RNA from 1 species
UAAAACUUGAUUAUCGUUGAAAAUCAUUACCACUUUGGAUAACAAGAAAGGGAAAAACGUUAACAUACAUAUAUAAUGUUUUAGUGCACAUAAAACAAAUUUUUUAAAUAUCAUUGUUUUUUGUGCAUAAUUAUAGGAAUCAAGCAUUUUCACAAGUUAAAAGUUGAUAAUAAGUACGUUAUAACUUAUAAUACUAUAUGUACAUUGUCUUCUGUGCAAUCUACAACCUAUUCAGAUUUCAUAAAUGAUCUUAAGGAUUAAAAAGUAUGUAUAAUAUCACAUAUUGAUGAUAAUAUUACAUUUAUAAAUAUAGUAACAAAAUAGAUCGGGAGGUUAUGUUU